GUUCCAUCAUUCAAGGUUUCCCACCAGAAAAGUUGUUAAGCCAGGUGACGAGUGUCUUAUUUUUCUGAGGGCCCGGCUGGGGCCAGUCCCAGACUGAUGACAGCAUUAAUGUUACUGUGAUCACAGAAUCAUAAAUGGAAUCCUGAAAUUAAGAAUUUAAAAACGCUGUAAGACAAAC